AGGAAGAUAAUACCGCNUAAGAUUGUAGUAUCGCAUGAUAUAGCAAUUAAAGGAAGCAAUUCGCUAUAAGAUGGACCCGCGUCGCAUUAGCUAGUUGGUGAGGUAAUGGCUCACCAAGGCGACGAUGCGUAGCCGACCUGAGAGGGUGAUCGGCCACAUUGGGACUGAGACACGGCCCAGACUCCUACGGGAGGCAGCAUG
rnacentral:rRNA from 1 species